UACGGGGGGGCAAGCGUUGUUCGGAAUUACUGGGCGUAAAGGGCUCGUAGGCGGCCAACUAAGUCAUACGUGAAAUCCCUCGGCUUAACCGGGGAACUGCGUCUGAUACUGGAUGGCUUGAGUUCGGGAGAGGGAUGCGGAAUUCCAGGUGUAGCGGUGAAAUGCGUAGAUAUCUGGAGGAACACCGGUGGCGAAGGCGGCAUCCUGGACCAACACUGACGCUGAUGAGCGAAAGCCAGGGGAGCAAACGGGG
rnacentral:rRNA from 1 species